CUUUCGUUGCACAUCGAUGUCAGACUCUGAUUCACCUUCCAUCGCCAAGUAGCCUUUACACAGGACCUGUAAAAGCCCAUUCAGAAUGUUACUUGAUACUUGACUACUGUGUGACUAGAAUACAGACAAAGGAAAUUAUAAUGUCCAAUAAUACAACACAGAUGUGAAUACUUUUCAAAUAUGAGACACAAUGUGAUUGCCUAAUCCCUCCCAACCACGCACAUGCAGACAGACAGAAUUUGUUACUGGACCCCAACUGCACCCCUUCCUGCACUUUCUGACACAUGACACCCCACAUUGAGAGAAGCCAGCACCUUCCAAGAAGCCCAGUCACUGUAGCGGUGGUGGGGAGGAUCCACACCCACCAGUGUCCUAGAUUCUGUCUCUCACAGAUGAAGAGUACCUAUGAUACAAAUGACAGACCUCUACAUGCUUUGCAAAGGAAUACCCAAUCACUUGGCAAAUAAUGGAUGCCUGAAAAAGAUAGGUGAAGAGUAGGUUCCUUGUGCCACAGUAGCUGCAGACAUGUAUACAGAAGAUCUUUGACCAGGGCAUCAACCUUUGGAACUGACCCC
ensembl:lncRNA